rnacentral:rRNA from 1 species
UGCCCUGGCAGUCAGAGGCGAUGAAGGGCGUGCUAAUCUGCGAUAAGCGCCGGUAAGGUGAUAUGAACCGUUAUAACCGGCGAUACCCGAAUGGGGAAACCCAGUGUGACUCGUCACACUAUCAUUAACUGAAUCCAUAGGUUAAUGAGGCGAACCGGGGGAACUGAAACAUCUAAGUACCCCGAGGAAAAGAAAUCAACCGAGAUUCCCCCAGUAGCGGCGAGCGAACGGGGAGGAGCCCAGAGCCUGAAUCAGCAUGUGUGUUAGUGGAAGCGUCUGGAAAGGCGCGCGAUACAGGGUGACAGCCCCGUACACAAAAGCGCAUGUGCUGUGAGCUCGAUGAGUAGGGCGGGACACGUGGUAUCCUGUCUGAAUAUGGGGGGACCAUCCUCCAAGGCUAAAUACUCCUGACUGACCGAUAGUGAACCAGUACCGUGAGGGAAAGGCGAAAAGAACCCCGGCGAGGGGAGUGAAAAAGAACCUGAAACCGU